ACGCUCGACACCUACGGGGGCAGCAGUGGGGAAUAUUGCACAAUGGGGGAAACCCUGAUGCAGCAACGCCGCGUGAAGGAAGACGGUUUUCGGAUUGUAAACUUCUGUUCUUAGUGAAGAUAGUGACGGUAGCUAAGGAGCAAGCCACGGCUAACUACGUGCCAGCAGCCGUGGUAAUCUGAGCGGGCUGGCAAGGC
rnacentral:rRNA from 1 species